rnacentral:rRNA from 1 species
AUGCACGCUGGCGGCGUGCUUAACACAUGCAAGUCGCACGAUGAAGCCCAGCUUGCUGGGUGGAUUAGUGGCGAACGGGUGAGUAACACGUGAGUAACCUGCCCUUGACUCUGGGAUAAGCCUGGGAAACUGGGUCUAAUACUGGAUAUGACUUCUCAUCGCAUGGUGGGGGGUGGAAAGAUUUAUUGGUCUUGGAUGGACUCGCGGCCUAUCAGCUUGUUGGUGAGGUAAUGGCUCACCAAGGCGACGACGGGUAGCCGGCCUGAGAGGGUGACCGGCCACACUGGGACUGAGACACGGCCCAGACUCCUACGGGAGGCAGCAGUGGGGAAUAUUGCACAAUGGGCGCAAGCCUGAUGCAGCGACGCCGCGUGAGGGAUGACGGCCUUCGGGUUGUAAACCUCUUUCAGUAGGGAAGAAGCGAGAGUGACGGUACCUGCAGAAGAAGCGCCGGCUAACUACGUG